rnacentral:rRNA from 1 species
GAUGAACGCUGGCGGCGUGCCUAAUACAUGCAAGUCGAGCGAACAGACGAGGAGCUUGCUCCUCUGACGUUAGCGGCGGACGGGUGAGUAACACGUGGAUAACCUCCCUAUAAGACUGGGAUAACUUCGGGAAACCGGAGCUAAUACCGGAUAAUAUAUUGAACCGCAUGGUUCAAUAGUGAAAGACGGUUUUGCUGUCACUUAUAGAUGGAUCCGCGCCGCAUUAGCUAGUUGGUAAGGUAACGGCCUACCAAGGCAACGAUGCGUAGCCGACCUGAGAGGGUGAUCGGCCACACUGGAACUGAGACACGGUCCAGACUCCUACGGGAGGCAGCAGUAGGGAAUCUUCCGCAAUGGGCGAAAGCCUGACGGAGCAACGCCGCGUGAGUGAUGAAGGUCUUCGGAUCGUAAAACUCUGUUAUUAGGGAAGAACAAAUGUGUAAGUAACUAUGCACGUCUUGACGGUACCUAAUCAGAAAGCCACGGCUAACUACGUG